rnacentral:sRNA from 1 species
UUCUAGCCCUGAUUGCAAUGAAAAUCCUUUUUAUUUUUUUCUUUAAAAAAUAAAAAGAUUGUAAUGAAAAGCAGGAUUAGCU